CCUCAUUGUGUCAAUGGUAUAUAGCAGGGCUAUUCAACUAUAUUUUUCCGGGGGCCAAAUUUGUCAGAAUACUAUGAUCUGUGGGCCGGACAUUCUCGUGA